rnacentral:rRNA from 1 species
GAUGAACGCUGGCGGCGUGCCUAAUACAUGCAAGUCGAGCGAACAGACGAGGAGCUUGCUCCUCUGACGUUAGCGGCGGACGGGUGAGUAACACGUGGAUAACCUACCUAUAAGACUGGGAUAACUUCGGGAAACCGGAGCUAAUACCGGAUAAUAUAUUGAACCGCAUGGUUCAAUAGUGAAAGACGGUUUUGCUGUCACUUAUAGAUGGAUCCGCGCCGCAUUAGCUAGUUGGUAAGGUAACGGCUUACCAAGGCAACGAUGCGUAGCCGACCUGAGAGGGUGAUCGGUCACACUGGAACUGAGACACGGUCCAGGCUCCUACGGGAGGCAGCAGUAGGGAAUCUUCCGCAAUGGGCGAAAGCCUGACGGAGCAACGCCGCGUGAGUGAUGAAGGUCUUCGGAUCGUAAAACUCUGUUAUUAGGGAAGAACAAAUGUGUAAGUAACUAUGCACGUCUUGACGGUACCUAAUCAGAAAGCCACGGCUAACUACGUG